GAUUGAGAUCCGGGUAGUUGUUGUUAUGUUAUUGCUUUGAUAUGUUUGCAUCCUGAGAGCUAGGAUGGUAUAUGUUAGAGACCUGAUUGAGAUCGGUAUCCUGAGAGAUAGGGAGAUGCUAUGCUAGUGACCUGUUAGGUCGGUAUCCUGGUUAGGAUGAUGAUAUGUUAUGUGAUCUGUUUGAUCUGCUUGUUGACUGUGAAUUGCUAUAUGAUUGUAUGUAUAUGUGCACAUGGUUGUUUGGACUGGAGUUGGGUUGAGGCGGGUCCUGCUGUGUGCUGUAGGCCAAGAUACCCAGGGCGGACCGGUUGUCCCGAAGGCCCAGCGAGCGGUCCGGAUAGGCUGUAGGCCCCAAGAGGGCGGACCAGACGUGCCGAGGCUCGGAGAGUGGACCAGGCCGACUGAAGGCCCGGUGCGGGCGGACCAGUCAUACUGUAGACUCAGAGAGUGGACCAGGUGGAUUGAAGGCCCGGUGCGGGCGGACCAAUCACACUGCAGACUCGAUGUAUGUGGAUAGACUCAGAGGGUGGACCAGGUGGACUGUAGGCCGGUGCGGCGGACCAGUCACACAGUAGACCCGAAGUGCAUGGCUGUUCUGUGAUCGGAUAUGUUAUGGCAUGUUAUGCGUGUAUGGUAUUUGUGGUUGGUAUUUUGGGGAUAUCUCACUAAGCUUUCGGGCUUACAGUUGUGGUUUCAUGUUUUUCAGGUUCUUCAGGAGACUGUGGCAAGGCGAAGGCGUGAUCGUACCGCUCCUCAUGAUUUUGUAGUAUUGUGAUUCUGGGAAUACGUUAAAUGUUUUGUAUUGAAAACCUUUUUGUAAAGAUUUAAUGGAAUCGAGAUGUUUUUGAAAAAUUUAAAAUUGGUUGUAUUUUUCGGUCGUUACAAGUUGGUAUCAGAGCCUUGGUUUGAGUGAAUUGGAGGAACAUUCGUGUGACUCCAGUCUCAAAUCGAGGAGAGUUUUCAAAAGAGUAUUUAAAAUGGUUUUCAAAAUGAGUAAGGGAGGACGCGGAGGUACGAUCAGCCGGAGCCAGUAAGUAACCCCAAAAUACCAUGCAUGUUAUUUGUUUUUGAGCUUUGAUAGAACAGCAUGCUAGUGAUAGGCUAGGGAUCUUCAGGAUUUCAUGAUAUGUUGCCUGAUUUGUGAUGCCUGUAGCCUAGGGUUCCUUAUGGGAUAUUUUCAGUGUUCCUCUAGUGGUGAGGGUUGAGCGUUGUUAUGCAUGUUUCUCUAGGGCGUUGUGGUAGUACUUCAUACAAAUAUGGGUAGGUGUGGAAGGUAGUAUGGGCCCGUACUACUGAAAGCACAGGACCCAUACGCGUAUCAGGGAAACCAUGAUCUCUAGGGUUGGGUUGAGAGAGUUGGAUCCCAGGUUGGUGGGAAGAGUCUGAGAUUUUGUGUGGUGUUUUUCAGUAUGGAGAUUCCGAGGCAUGAUGAGAGUGGAUCCGGAUCAGGAUCGGGAGCAGGAGAGAGAGUUCCGGGCGGAUCGGUACCGCCCGAGGUUAUCGGUCAGAUGAGCACGUGCGAGUUGGAUGCGAGGAUUCGUGAGAUCCUGCGUGAUGAGAUUGCUGAGUUGUUCCGGGCUGAGUUGCCGGAGCUGUUUGGGUCGAUCAAGACCGCCAUGGUUGAGUAUUUUGAUGAGCGCUAUGCAGCUCUCACAGAGACGGCUGCCGCGGCGGCUACAGCGGCUGUAGCAGCGGCAGGGGGAGGAGCUAGUCGGGGUUUUCAGUAUCGGGACUUCGAUAAUACGAAGCCUCCCACCUUCGAUGGAGUUCAGGACCCGAUUGUUGCUAUGAGAUGGUUAUCAGACGUGGAGGGGUGUUUCUUCACGUGUUCAUGCCCUGCUGAUCAGAGGGUGAGGUGUGCUCUGAACCUGUUGAGGCUCGGGGCGAAGGAUUGGUGGAGAUUGACCACGGGGUCAUAUUCAGAUGCGCAGAGGGCUGCGGUAUCAUGGGAUCAGUUCCGAGAGAUGUUCAUCACUCGUUAUGUUCCGCAGGUUGAGAGGGAGAGAUUGGCUCAGGAGUUCCUUGAGCUGAAGCAGGAUUCGGAGUCGGUGACUGAGAUCACCAGGAUGUUCACUGAGAGGGCGAUGUUUUGCCCAGAGUUCGCUUCGGAGCAGGCUCAGAUGUCUCGAUAUCUGAGCAUGCUCAAGAGGGACAUCAGACAGUUUGUGUCUGCGCAGAGGUGCGAGACCUUGUUGGAGUUGCAGGAGGCCGCCAGGCGGCGUGAGUUAGAGAUUGAGUUGCAGUUGCGUGAGCUGAGGCAGGCUCCGGUGCAGUCGCAGCCGGCGCCGAAACGGUCCAAGACCGUUGAUGCUAGAGUGGGGGAUCUGAGCAGCCACACUUGUGGGAAGUGUGGGAGGGGUCACACCGGAGUUUGUAGGUCCGGUGGUGCAUGCCGCAAGUGCGGAAAGGAGGGGCACUAUGCGAGGGAUUGUCGGCAGUCAGCGCCGGUUCGGGAUUUGAGGAUUUGUUAUCAUUGUCAUCAGGUUGGACAUUUGAGGGUCAACUGUCCACAGCUUGCUGCAGGACCGGUGCAGGCUCCAGCACCGGCCACUUUGAGGAUCACAGGUGGAGGUCAGGGUGGAGCGGAGCCCCCAAGGGCUCAGGGUCGUGCUUUUCAGCUUGCAGCAGAGGAGGUCAGAGCAGUGCCGGAUGCAGCUGCGGGUAUGUUUCUUUCUUGAUGUCUUGUUAUCUUGUGAUUAUUGUGGUGUAUUGUUUAUGUGCUGGUAUCUUUGUGUGGUUUUCGAUGCGGUAUUCGUCGUUUUGAGGGUUGUGGUUUGGUUAUGGGUUAUUGUUUUGGGAAUUUCGUUGGUUAUCAUCCAUGAGAGUUAUUAGUGGGAACCUGGCAUUGGUUUGAAGGCCGGGUAGCAUCUGCUUUCUGAGGAGUGGUUAGAUGCAGAUUGAGUUUCUUUCGAGCGGGUUAAUCGGUGUUGAUGUGAGAUCUCGUUAAGGUUGUUUAUGCUUGUGGGAAGCAGUCCGCGUGUAAGUGUUUUCUUUGUGCAGAGUUGUUCUGGGAGGUCGGUGAUGGCGACCGGUGGUUGUUAAUCAGUGCUACAAGUGGGGGAGAAUUGGAAAAUUCUCCGGAAGAUCGAUGAGCAUUUGAGGGUGAUUAGCUGUUUGGGAUUUAGCAGUGUUCUGUCAGCCCAGAGUGUAGCCUGGUAGGAGCAAGUGUUGGGCAUGCAGGGCGGGAUACAGACCUAGGGCAUUUGAUUGUGGAGGGCCUGGGGUCAGGCCGGGAUCGAGUAUGUAUGAUGGAGUUAGAGUUCGGAACCCCUAGAGGGCUAGAACGGUAUGCAUGGGAGGAUUUCCCGGAGAGAUAGUUCGGAAUGAUGAAUGCUAGUUGAGCGGUCCGGAUAGACUGAAGGCCCGUAGGCGUACCAGUCAGGCCGAAGGCUCGGAGGACGGUCCAGCCAGACUGAAGGCACUGAGAGCGGUCCAGAUUGGCUGAAGGUUCUAAGAGUGGUCCAGAUUGGCUGAAGGCCUGGUGAGGUGGUCCAGUCAUGCUGAAGACUCUGCAAGUCUUGUUGGAUCGGUUCGAGGAUAUGGAUUGUGUAUGGUGCGGUGUGAUAGCCUUAGAAGGUCUGGCCCCAGGUAGUGAUCUUGAUUAGUGGAGUUUGUGCAUGGGCUUGAGAGUCCCUGCGGUCAGAGUCAGAGCAUGCAUGAUGGAUGGUUAGCGGUUACGCUAUGAAGGAGUGGUGUAGCGUUGGGCGAGCACCGUGGCACUUGUCGGAGUGACAAGGCGGCCAAGUGAAUUUCCUUGGUAAAGGAAAGAGAGAUGAGUGUAACUCCGAGAGGGAGUGCAAGUUCAAGGAAGUGAAAGCGGAAGAGCCGAGUUAUGAUUAGAGUGAUCUGAGUAUGAUUAUUGAGCUGCGUGUUUGCGGCAGUGGAAUGGAAGCACAUCCGGUUUGGGAUGUCUGUUGAGGUCGCGGAAGGAAUUCCGCGGGUGUAACGCCAAGAGGCUCGGAAGGGAUGCAGGGAGGGAGUCUUAGGCUCUCAGUGUGAUUCUGAUCAGGGAAUUGUGUACGUAGUAGUGGUUCGUCCUGGGGGAUGUUGGAGAUGUCGUCAGUGUGACGGGUUUCCUAACCCGAGAGUGCGAGGGCUAUUGCAGCAUGUGCGUGUGAUUGCAAGAAGAGGACUCGUGGGAGUUGCUCUGAGAUUGUAGAAUGGGUCUUUCGGUCAGCAUGGAAUGGAUAGAGUGAGAUCCGGAUUAGGGAUCCAGUGGUUCAUGGUUUUCUAGCUCAUAUGGGUCGAGUGAUUGUUGGGAUUUGGAGCAGUGAUGCAUCAUGGGAAGUACUCGGUUGAUGAGUGUGAUUAUCAGAGGGUACAACCGGUGCCCGGUUUGAGACGGUGGUCAGGACACCGCAAGGAAAGAGAAAGUGAGUUCGAAUUUCGAUGGGUAUGCCUUUAGGGACAUGGUCUGGUUGAGGCCAGGUGGCGCGUUGUGGGAGUAUUUUUGGAUUUGAGUUGCCGUAGGCUUCGAGGACGAAGCCUAAUUUAAGUGGGGGAGAAUUGUAACAUCCCGAAAUAUCAAGAGUAGAGUUGAAGGGUUAAAAGAGUAAAUUGGGAAAGAGCGACUCGGCGAGUCCAUGGGUGGACUCGGCGAGUAGAGUCGCGACUUGGUCGCGUGUUAAGUGGCUGACUCGGCGAGUCAGAGUAAUGGACUCGGCGAGUAGGCGCUGAGUGGAGAAAACCCUAAUUCUCGGGGUUGAGCCCUAUAUAAAGAACAUAACAUCCAUUCCCCCAGCCUCCUUACUCAUCCUCAAGUCCAGAAACCCUAACCUUUGUAUGUGAGUGGAUCAAGUUGCAUUUGGGAGCUUGGAGAAGCAAUUGUUGAGGAAAUCUUGAAGAAGAAGAGGCUUGGAGCAAGGGGCUUUGCUUGGAUUCGAGUUCCAUUAGUUGGGGCGUUCUUUUGAGGUAAUAUCUCAUCCAUGGGCUGUUACUCUUAUGGAUUCAUCAUUUUGGGGUUUGUGGGGAGCUUAUCUUGGUAUGUUUUGGAGUUUGGAAGUUAGAUCUGAGGUUGCUACCUNUGAGGUGGCUACCUCAGAUCUGGAGUGGUGGUGGUCCUAAUGUGCAUAAAGUCCCUGUGUUGAGUGUUGGGUGAAGCUAUCAUGUCCCAAACCUUAGCCCUAAUGUGCAAAAUUCAUAAGUCUCUUUGGAUUCACGUAAAGUUUGCCACUUUACGUGAUGGAUGGGUUGUAGGAGGCUAGAUCUAUGUUUUGGAUCAAUUGCAUGGCCUGGAAUGCUUCUGUAUGGAUUCAGACCGGUGGUACUCGGCGAGUCACAUGGGUGGACUCGACGAGUUGCUUGAAGAUGAGCUGGAACUCGACGAGUUGGAAGAACAACUCGGCGAGUUGGAUGAAGAUGGCCUGGAACUCGGCGAGUUGUAUGAACAACUCGGCGAGUAGGUUGAAGAUAGCCUUAGACUCGGCGAGUCUGUUCUUGGACUCGGCGAGUCUUGUCGAAGAGUCCCAAUAUUUUCUGGUUGAGUCGAGAAUCGGCGAGUCAAGGGAUGACUCGGUGAGUUGUGGGCGAGUGGACUCAGAGUUGUUGGACUCGACGAGUCUCGGGGUGACUCGGCGAGUUAGGUCGCGGAUUGAGGGAAGUUCUGAGUAUGGGGACUCGGCGAGUCAUCGGGUUGACUCGGCGAGUAGAGUCAGUCAGGGGUUGACUUUGACCUUGUCUUUGACCAAGGGUUGACCAGUGGUUUCCAGGGGCAUUUUGGUAAUUGUUGAUUAUUGUUUUGAGUUCAGUGCAUUGGUGGUUGUCCAGUGGUGGAGAUCGUAUCAGUGAUCGGAGCAGCUUGGGUUAUCUGUUCAGUCGGCAGUUUCGAGGUGAGUUAUCCUCACUAUAUCAACAGGGUCUAAGGCACCAAGGCCGGCCCUUAUCGGAUUGAGAUCCGGGUAGUUGUUGUUAUGUUGUUGCUUUGAUAUGUUUGCAUCCUGGUAGCUAGGAUGGUAUAUGUUAGAGACCUGAUUGAGAUCGGUAUCCUGAGAGAUAGGGUGAUGCUAUGCUAGUGACCUGUUAGGUCGGUAUCCUGGUUAGGAUGAUGAUAUGUUAUGUGAUCUGUUUGAUCUGCUUGUUGACUGUGAAUUGCUAUAUGAUUGUAUGUAUAUGUGCACAUGGUUGUUUGGACUGGAGUUGGGUUGAG
rnacentral:lncRNA from 1 species